GGGGAUUUAGCUCAGUGGCAGAGCGCUUGCCUAGGAAGCGCAAGGCCCUGGGUUCAGUCCCCA
rfam:Rattus norvegicus chromosome 17, whole genome shotgun sequence.